rnacentral:tRNA from 2 species
GCGAAAGUGGCGGAAUUGGCAGACGCGCCAGAUUUAGGAUCUGGUGGGGUUACUCCCCGUGGGGGUUCGAGUCCCCCCUUUCGCA